rfam:Salmo salar isolate Sally breed double haploid chromosome ssa03, whole genome shotgun sequence.
ACAGCAACCCUAACAAAAGCAUUGACUGGUUUUGUCUGCAGUAAGUGCUUUUUGUUGGGGUAGCUGUU